rnacentral:lncRNA from 1 species
GUAUUCACUACCUUACCAAACGAUGUCUCCUCUUCGAAUAGAACCUCUUAAGUCUUAACCCUUAUUUCCACAUCAACCCAUUAUUAGACUAUGAGCCCACGGGCUUAUCUAAACUUCUAGUUCCAUCCGCUACGACUGCGGGAGAGUAUUAGACUAUGAGCCCACGAGCUUAGUUAGGUUUCUAGGGUUACUCGUAAUCCCUAUAUAUUGUAACCUACUCAUUCAAUAAUAAUCAUUCAGUCUUUCAUAAUCUUACACCCGUA